rnacentral:rRNA from 1 species
UGGGGAAUCUUGCGCAAUGGGCGAAAGCCUGACGCAGCAACGCCGCGUGGGGGAUGAAGCUUCUCGGAGUGUAAACCCCUUUCGACCCGGAAGAAUCCCCGCAAGGGAUUGACAGUACGGGUAUAAGAAGCCCCGGCUAACUACGUGCCAGCAGCCGCGGUAAAACGUAGGGGGCCAGCGUUGCUCGGAAUUACUGGGCGUAAAGGGUCUGUAGGCGGUGCGGCAAGUCGGAAGUGAAAUCUCAGGGCUUAACCCUGAGGCUGCUCCCGAAACUGCUGUGCUCGAGUGCGAGAGAGGCGAGUGGAAUUGCAGGUGUAGCGGUGAAAUGCGUAGAUAUCUGCAGGAACAUCCGAGGCGAAAGCGGCUCGCUGGAUCGCAACUGACGCUGAGAGACGAAAGCUAGGGGAGCAAACAGGAUUAGAUACCCCUGUAGUCC